rnacentral:misc_RNA from 1 species
UCCCCGUUUCACAGGGCAGUCUGAUAAAUGGUCCCUACCAAUUAAGAUAAGGUAAUUUACCAUAAGGGUUGCGCUCGUUGCGGGACUUAACCCAACAUCUCACGACACGAGCUGACGACAGCCAUGCAUCACCUGUGUAGUUCGUCCUUGCGGACCAACGACUUUCAUCGUCUGAACACUACAUGUCAAGGCCAGGUAAGGUUCUUCGCGUUGCAUCGAAUUAAGCCACAUACUCCACCGCUUGUGCGGGCCCCCGUCAAUUUCUUUGAGUUUUAAUCUUGCGACCGUACUUCCCAGGCGGCUCAUUUAAUCCGUUAGGUUUGGCACUGAUGGGGUCGAAUCCACCAACACCUGAUGAGCACCGUUUACUGCUAGGACUAC